UUGACCUUGGGCUUGGCUGGCCGGNCCCCUUCCNGGGUNUAUUGGUCNGGCCGGCCCUUUCCCUCUGUGGAACCCCAUGCCCUUCNCUGGGUGUGNCGGGGAANCAGGACUUUUACUGUGAAAAAAUUAGAGUACUCCAGGCAGGCCUAUGCUCGAAUACAUUAGCAUGGAAUAAUAGAAUAGGACGUGUGGUUCUAUUUUGUUGGUUUCUAGGACCGCCGUAAUGAUUAAUAGGGACAGUCGGGGGCACAG
rnacentral:rRNA from 1 species